rnacentral:ncRNA from 1 species
AUAUUUCUUCGGGGCAACGUGUGAUUCGUGACCGGUGGUAACCAGUGAGAAUUAGAAAUUAAAAAGCUGGAAGCCCACGAGCUUUAAUUAGCUGAUCUGGUGAGAUUCCAGAGCCGACAGUAUAGUCUGGAUGGAAGAGGAAAAAG